GAUGAAUGCUAGCGGCAGGCUUAAUACAUGCAAGUCGUGGGGCAGCAUGAGUAGCAAUACUUGAUGGCGACCGGCAAACGGGUGCGGAACACGUACACAACCUUCCGAUAAGUGGGGAAUAGCCCAGAGAAAUUUGGAUUAAUACCCCGUAACAUAUAGAGUAGGCAUCUUCUUUAUAUUAUAGCUUCGGCGCUUAUUGAUGGGUGUGCGUCUGAUUAGGUAGUUGGCGGGGUGACGGCCCACCAAGCCUACGAACAGUAGCUGAUGUGAGAGCGUGAUCAGCCACACGGGCACUGAGACACGGGCCCGACUCCUACGGGAGGCAGCAGUAAGGAAUAUUGGACAAUGGGCGAAAGCCUGAUCCAGCCAUGCCGCGUGAAGGAUUAAGGUCCUCUGGAUUGUAAACUUCUUUUAUUUGGGACGAAAAAAGGGAAUUCUUUCCCACUUGACGGUACCAAGUGAAUAAGCACCGGCUAACUCCGUGCCAGCCGCCGCGGUAA
rnacentral:rRNA from 1 species